rnacentral:rRNA from 1 species
ACGAACGCUGGCGGCGUGCUUAACACAUGCAAGUCGAACGGAAAGGCCCUGCUUUUGUGGGGUGCUCGAGUGGCGAACGGGUGAGUAACACGUGAGUAACCUGCCCUUGACUUUGGGAUAACUUCAGGAAACUGGGGCUAAUACCGGAUAGGAGCUCCUGCUGCAUGGUGGGGGUUGGAAAGCUUCGGCGGUUGGGGAUGGACUCGCGGCUUAUCAGCUUGUUGGUGGGGUAGUGGCUUACCAAGGCUUUGACGGGUAGCCGGCCUGAGAGGGUGACCGGCCACAUUGGGACUGAGAUACGGCCCAGACUCCUACGGGAGGCAGCAGUGGGGAAUAUUGCACAAUGGGCGGAAGCCUGAUGCAGCAACGCCGCGUGCGGGAUGACGGCCUUCGGGUUGUAAACCGCUUUCGCCUGUGACGAAGCGUGAGUGACGGUAAUGGGUAAAGAAGCACCGGCUAACUACGUG